UUAUUUUCAAUUAACAAGAGUAUACAAGAGGUUUUAUGUUUUUCUUUCCUCAUGUGCUUCAUGCAACACCACAUGGACAAAGAAAUGUUUUUAUGCUUCUUGAUCUACACAAACUUUUUUUUUUUCUGACCGUAACCUGAUCUAACAGAAAGACCAACAGUUUCUUCUGACUCCAAACAGACAAAAUAGCUGAGCAAAAGCUGUAAGAACUGUUUCCAAGACAAAAUGUGAACACAUAAAAAGAAAUAAGACUUGUUAAUCACAAAGGAGAAUUUGUUUUUCCCACUCAAAAGGAGGUAUAUAUUUCCUAAUGAUGAGAGGAAAAAAGUCUUCCAGAUUGUUGGUCUUUAUUUUCCAUAAAUAACUUGGAAGGAGGACAAUACUGCAGCUGAAGAGGGCAUCAGGAAUCCCACAAUGGUGAUGGCUGGAAACUGCAGUUAUGUGUAGAAGAGGAUGCAGAUUUUCUGGAUGAAAUUAAAGAUGAUCAGCAUUACUAAAAAUUGUUGCAAAGUGCAGGAGGAGGUAGAAGGUGGUUCUCUUCAGGGAAACUCUAAGACUUGGAAACAAUAAAUGACAGAUGGUGGAAAAGAAAUUGUAAUAAGCUAUGCAUCUGUGACUGUCUUCAGCAACUACUUAGAAUAUACUGAAAUGAGAAGAAAUAGUCUUGCUGGUUGCAAAGGUUGUCAUGCCUCUGCACUGUCCAUGCUGCUAUCUUUGUUCAGAGGAGCAUGUUGA
rnacentral:lncRNA from 1 species